rnacentral:rRNA from 1 species
UACGUAGGGGGCAAGCGUUGUCCAGAUUUAUUGGGCGUAAAGAGCGUGUAGGCGGCCAUACAGGUCAGCUGUGAAAACUCGAGGCUCAACCUCGAGACGUCGGUUGAAACCGUAUGGCUAGAGUCCGGAAGAGGAGAGUGGAAUUCCCGGUGUAGCGGUGAAAUGCGCAGAUAUCGGGAAGAACACCCGUGGCGAAGGCGGCUCUCUGGGACGGUACUGACGCUGAGACGCGAAAGCGUGGGGAGCGAACAGG